CUCUUCAUUGGUAUUAGGAUUUUUGGGAAAGUUCAAAGUAAAGCUAAGAGAACUUAUGUUUAAAGUGGACAAUAUCAUACCAUCGUAGAGAGUCGUGUUCAUCUAAUAAUUGCUUCCUCCGGUUACGUACAUCUUAUCACUGAGAAAAAGUGCCAAGAAAGUUUGCUUUUAUUUCUAAAUUAUUGAAUUAGUGGAACUACUAAUCGCAUGUUCUAAAUCUAUCUUAGGGAAGCUUCUUUGCUGCUAGAAUGGGAAUCUAGAUGUAAUAUAGGUCCUUAUAGAUUUCUAUGGUAUUGAGUGAGAAGGAGGCGACUAGGUCUUGAACUUUCAAUAGCAUGUGUUGGAAGGCUGUGGAGGAAGGGUAUCGGGAAUUGUACCCUGACGAUAGAAGUACAAAUCAUUCUACGAGAUUCUCGGAGUUCGAACAGGACAAAUUAUACGGUGAUCUUCUGUUGGUCCUGGCCUUAGAAAAAGGAGAGUGAUUCAGUGUUAUGGGCCAGAAAACUCAAAGUUACAGAUUGGACGAUGGUUCUGAACUGAGAAAAUUUAGUUCCAUUUCGAACUUUUGGGAAAGUGUGGUUCUUCUUUAUGUAACUUGGAGUACUAACUCGUCGGAAUAAAAUCAUGAGUAUGUAAGUAAGAGACAAUUGGUAUGAGAUCUUUAGUAUGAGAUCUUUUGGAGAAACUAAAAGCGAAACCAUUUAUGCUCAAAAUAAACAAUGUGAUACUAAUGUGUAGAGUCGUUUCCUAACAGCUAUUACGGUGUUCUUAUAGAUUUCCGGUGCUGUAUGUACGUGGGUCAUCGAGCUCUUUGAUUCCUUUUGGAACAGGGAAGAUAUUUGAACCCAUUUUUUAUAUGCUAAACCAUUCCAAAAUACAAUCAAGUUCUGUGGCUUUUGCUUGCUGCUGAAAACUGUUGAUGUUGGGCUUUUGCUUGUGUUUCUGUAUCUGUCUGCUGGACUUGUUUUCACUGAUAAAACAAACAGGCUCUGAAGCGAAGCCAAAAAUUGACUUACUUACUUCUCAUUAAUCAACAUCCGUACGUAGAAUCUGCUGGUUUUGAAACCAGUUCUUGCAAGGUUGAUAUGAUUAAAGUACUUCCUUCAUAUCUGAGAAAGUUGAUCUGCUGAAGAUUUUGUUGCUUAUGGGAGUUUUUUUCCUUUAGACCAAAGCUGAGUAGCAUGAUUUGUGAUAAAACACCCUUCCCAUGUGGGCCUAAUUUUUCGGAUGUUAUCCUCUUUGAAAUUUUUCCUUAAGUUCUUUAAAAUGCGUUUGCUAGUGAGAAAUUUCUACACCCUUAUAAAGAAUGUUUUAUUCUCAUCCUCAACCGACAUGAGAUCUCACAAUUAUUAUGUAAUGGAAUCGGCUCCACAUCAAUUGUGCUAUUAUCUUUUCUUUUCCCUUUGUUUUUCUUUUUCGUCAUUAUCAUCUCUGCUCAAGUUUUUAUGUUCUUUUAUGGCUAUUAUAAAUCACACUGUCAUCUGGGAUGGUGCAUAAGUAGUCUGGCCUCCCUCUUAAACUAUGACUUUUUUCCAAAAUUCUCAUAUUUUCAGGUGUCUUAUUUGAUCUGUAAACGUGUCUAAAGUAUGUGUUGAUUUCGUUUAUAGCAUGUUAAAGUAAAAUCAUUCCGAAGUAAACCAAUUGAACAAGAAACAUCACAUCACUUACUACAAUUCAAUAAAGUGCUUAUCUACAGAGAAAAAGGCAAGAGAGAGGAUAGCAAUCUGCAGGUAAAUAACACUUUGAAGCUCAGAGCUAUGAAAGCAGCAGCCCCCUCUAUUGAAAGGAAAAAUGGAGGAAUAAUAAAUGAAGCCUUUUCAAGCUGCAGGUCACUCCCAACCCAGCUAACAGUCAUUAUGCAACAUCUCAACCUUCUACAGCUUCAAUGGCAGCCUUUGCAAGGAAAAAGAGAGAGAGAGCUAAGGCUCUGUUUGACAGUCCCACCUAUUUGUCUAAAACGAGUUGUGCCACUGCCACCCUCAUGGAUGCUUGGUUGUUCCUCACUCACCCACCGAAAGAAGGGUGAAUCAAUGUAGAUUCUUUUGUACGGACGGCGGCAGUCCAGAGAUUGAAGAAGCCUUAUGUUUUUCCUCGAUGUGCGGUGGAGCAUGUGGU